rnacentral:misc_RNA from 1 species
GAUGAAGAACGCAGCGAAAUGCGAUAUGUAAUGUGAAUUGCAGAAUUCAGUGAAUCAUCGAGUCUUUGAACGCACAUUGCGCCCCCUGGUAUUCCGGGGGGCAUGCCUGUCCGAGCGUCAUUGCUGCCCUCAAGCACGGCUUGUGUGUUGGGCCUCCGCCCCCCGGCUCCCGGGGGGCGGGCCCGAAAGGCAGCGGCGGCACCGCGUCCGGUCCUCGAGCGUAUGGGGCUUCGUCACCCGCUCCGUAGGCCCGGCCGGCGCCCGCCGGCGACCCCCCUCAAUCUUGCCAGGUUGACCUCGGAUCAGGUAGGGAUACCCGCUGAACUUAAGCAUAUCAAUAAGCGGAGGA